GGAUUUGGCUCAGUGGUAGAGCGCUUGCCUAGCAAGCACAAGGCCCUGGGUUCGGUCCCCAGCUCCA
rnacentral:tRNA from 1 species